GUCUCUGUAGUGUGAUGGAUAGCACAUUGGAUUUCUAAUCCAAAGGUCGUGAGUUUAAUCUCACCUGGGAUA